UACCUUAUCUACGGGACUCGCAAGAUCA
rnacentral:sRNA from 1 species